rnacentral:rRNA from 1 species
UACGGAGGUGGCAAGCGUUGCUCGGAAUCACUGGGCGUAAAGGGCGCGUAGGCGGGGAGGUAAGUCGGGUGUGAAAUCCCUCGGCCCAACCGAGGAGCUGCGCCCGAGACUGCUUCUCUUGAGUCCCGGAGAGGAAGAUGGAAUUCCCGGUGUAGCGGUGAAAUGCGUAGAUAUUGGGAGGAACACCAGUGGCGAAGGCGGCUCACUGGACUGGUACUGACGCUGAGGCGCGAAAGCGUGGGGAGCAAACGGG